rnacentral:rRNA from 1 species
AUACGGAGGGGACUAACGUUGUUCGGAUUUACUGGGCGUAAAGGGUGCGUAGGCGGACCUUCAAGUCGGAUGUGAAAUCUAUAGGCUCAACUUAAAGCUUGCAUUCGAAACUGAUGGUCUUGAGUGGAUUAGAGGAAUGCGGAAUUCCAGGUGUAGCGGUGAAAUGCGUAGAUAUCUGGAGGAACACCAGUAGCGAAGGCGGCAUUCUGGGAUCAUACUGACGCUGAAGCACGAAGGCUAGGGGAGCAAACAGGAUUAGAAACCCCAGUAGUCC